rnacentral:rRNA from 1 species
AUUGAACGCUGGCGGCAGGCCUAACACAUGCAAGUCGAGCGGUAGCACAGGGAGCUUGCUCCUGGGUGACGAGCGGCGGACGGGUGAGUAAUGUCUGGGAAACUGCCUGAUGGAGGGGGAUAACUACUGGAAACGGUAGCUAAUACCGCAUAACGUCGCAAGACCAAAGAGGGGGACCUUCGGGCCUCUUGCCAUCAGAUGUGCCCAGAUGGGAUUAGCUAGUAGGUGGGGUAACGGCUCACCUAGGCGACGGUCCCUAGCUGGUCUGAGAGGAUGACCAGCCACACUGGAACUGAGACACGGUCCAGACUCCUACGGGAGGCAGCAGUGGGGAAUAUUGCACAAUGGGCGCAAGCCUGAUGCAGCCAUGCCGCGUGUAUGAAGAAGGCCUUCGGGUUGUAAAGUACUUUCAGCGGGGAGGAAGGCGAUAAGGUUAAUAACCUUGUCGAUUGACGUUACCCGCAGAAGAAGCACCGGCUAACUCUGUGCCAGCCGCCGCCGUAAAAC